UUAGGAAAAGUUGUCUCCAAGGUGAGAACUAAUAGUCUGGGUUAGUGAGGCUAACUGCCUUUGCAGGCCAGAUCAGUCCCUUUCGUUUUCUAUAUCACUUUUGCGAUUUUCUUACAUGAUUUUGUUUUCUAUAUCACAUAAGCAUCUGGGAGGUUGGUUCUCGAGAAAGGAUGGUACAUAAACCCUUCAAGGUUUGGGAUUUAUCUGCUUGCUCAAUGCCUUUCUAGGUAAAGUUCCUUUUCCAAUUUUGUGUUCAUUGAUGCAUGUAAGUGAUGAAUUUUCAAUGGUUGUGAUUCAAGCAAACAAUUUGUUAGAUCAGCCAGGUUGAAUCAGGACCGUUGAGUUCGAUGAAUUCAGGUCCGUACGGAACGUUCAUCGGCGUAUAUGAGGGACAUGGUGGACCGGAGACGUCAAGAUUCGUUAACGAGAAUCUGUUUGCUAAUCUCAAGAGAUUUGCGUCUGAGGAUCAAGAUAUGUCUGCGAAUGUUAUCAAGAUAUGAGUUUCUUUCGGUUGUAAGAGAACAAUGGCGGAUAUGCCCGCAAAUAGCGUCUGUGGGGACGUGCUGUUUGGUAGGUGUUAUUUGUAAAGGGUUGAUUUACAUUGCGAAUGCUGGAGAUUUGAGAGUGGUGUUAGGGAGAGCUGAUCGAGAAUGCAGGCGGUGAACGGUUAAAAAGCCAGAAGUCGAAGGUUACCGAAAUUCAAAAUGUAAGUACAAUACAUUACUCGAAAGGUUGAUGUUGUUCAAGGUCAGCAACAGUUUAUAUUUACAUAAUUCUUUAUGUCAGUUCAGUUUACGAUCUGUUUAUCAUAUUUUCAGGUACUGAUUUGGCAAAUUUGGUAAAUGUGGCGGCUCUCAAGGUGGCAAUGGACGGUGCAAAACCGGUAAACAUGCCUGAUUUAGGAUUAUAGCGACUCAUAGCGAGAAUAGUGACAAUUAAUUUCUUUUGAUAUAAAUAGCAAGUAAAUAUAGCUAUAAAAUGGCUGGAUUAUAGGUUUUUGUUAAAUAUAUAUGUAAAAUGGCAUAUAUACCAGGGUAUUUUGAUAUAAUAUACAUAUAAAAAUAUUUAAAAAAUUUUCAUACGUAUCGCUGUUUAUAAAAUUUCCUCCCACUAUUUAUCGCUAUUCGCUAUGUGGCUUAUAGGUACCUUAUUGCUAUUUGUCGCUAUUCGCAAUUAACAACUAUGGGUGCCCUCGGAUGUUGGUGGAGUUGCUAGAGCACGAGCUUUUGCUAAAAAGUUAUCUGAUGCGCCAUUGACCAUUGUUGAUAAGCGGCGUCAUGGGCACAAUGUAGCUGAAGUAACGAAUUUGAACCGUGAUGUGAAAGGUAAAGUAGCAGUUAUGGUGGAUGACAUGAUCGAUACUGCUGGUACUAUUGCCAAAGGAGCAGACCUGUUGCAUCAUGAAGGGGAAGGGGCAUGGAAGUUUAUGCAUACAGCACGCAUGUUGUUUUCAGUCCACUAGCAAUUGAUCGGUUGUCAAGUGGUCUAUUUCAAGAGGUGAUUACCACGAAUACCAUUCUGGUGUCUGAAAAGAACUAUUUACCACCGCUGAUUGUCUUAUUGGUAGCAAACCUACUUGGCGAGAGCAUCUGGCAUGUGCAUGAUGAUUACCCUAUCUUGUUAUGAAUAUGAAUGAAGAGGGUAAUCAAGCUUGCCCUCAAUGCAAAACCAGAUACAAACAAAUCAAAGGGAAUCCAAGAGUGAAUGGUGAUGAAGAAGAGGAUGAAUUUGAUGAUUUGGAUAAUGAAUUUAAUCUCUGAAACAAUGAUAGGAGAGACCCUCAUCAUAGUUUUUCUGAACUUCCUUCGCGCCAGAAUUUUGGGCCUGUUGCAUCCAAUAUUACUGGUUUUGCCACUGCAUUGGUGGUCAGCGCAAACGAUCUUAGCCACAAGAUCCCUCUUCUUACUUAUGGUCAAGAGCUAAACUCAACUGCCAUUUAUGUACUUAGCCCUGUGGACAUUAUACCCGAGCAUUGUUUGGAGUACUUGGUCUAUUGGAUGAUGUCAUGAUAGUCCUUAUCUUUUUCCUACAUGUUGGCACCCUGUAUCGGGCUAUUCUUGUGCGCCGUUAUGGAGGAUCUUCAACCUCACGAUUUGAAGCCUUAUAAUGAUGUUGGUUGUUCCUGUUUAACAUAUGCAAUUAUGCUUCAUCUGAUAUUGAUACAAUAUAGAGAUUGUGAUCUUUGUAUAAUGAUGGGGAUGAUUGUUUCAGUUGCAAGACGUACAAGUUUUCAUUUUUAUUA